rnacentral:lncRNA from 1 species
AGUGAACGAAUUUUUUAAUAUUUAUAUUCAACACUUUUUCUUAUGUACGGAUUUGAGAAUUUUUGAUUAAGACAUUGACUUGAAUUAAAUGGAAGAGAUAGGAGCCUGGUGGAACUUGAACUUAUUAGCACCCGAUAUGUUAAUUAAGCAACUUGAAAUAAUUAUUAUUCUUUAAAAACUUAAGCCGGUAGAAAACGGUAUUUUUAAUAUUUAUAUUCAACAAAUGCAAAAUCAGAAGCUGUAAGCGA